GUGUCAGCAGCCGCGGUAAUACGGAGGGUGCAAGCGUUGUCCGGAUUUAUUGGGUUUAAAGGGUGCGUAGGCGGCUUAUUAAGUCAGGGGUGAAAGACUGCAGCUCAACUGUAGCAGUGCCUUUGAUACUGAUGAGCUUGAGUACAGAUGAGGCUGGCGGAAUGGGUGGUGUAGCGGUGAAAUGCAUAGAUACCAUCCAGAACACCGAUUGCGAAGGCAGCCGGCUAAACUGUAACUGACGCUGAGGCACGAAAGCGUGGGGAUCGAACAGGAUUAGAUACCCUGGUAGUCC
rnacentral:rRNA from 1 species